AGGCAAUAAGAGAAGCCUGCAGGAGCUCAGAUGUGCUGUGAUUUCAGAACACAGAGUGCUGAGGCAUCUUCAUCAUGGCCUGGGCCCCUCUCCUUCUUCAUCUUUUCUUUCUCUAUGCAGAUUCUGUGGCCUCCUACGAGCUGACCCAACCACCUUCAGCAUCAGUCACUGCAGGAGAGACUGUCAAAAUCACUUGCUCUGGGGAACAAUUGCCAAAAAAAUAUGCUUACUGGUUUCAGCAAAAGCCAGACCAGACCAUUUUGCUACUGAUAUACAAAGAUAGUGAGCGACCCUCAGGGAUCCCUGACCGAAUCUCUGGGUCCAGUUCAGGGACAACAGCCACCUUGACCAUCAGUGGAGUCCUGUCUGAGGAUGAGGCCUAACCAGGAGAUUCCGGA